rnacentral:rRNA from 1 species
UUCUAGAGCUAAUACAUGCUAAAAAUCCCGACUUCGGAAGGGAUGUAUUUAUUAGAUUAAAAACCAAUGCCCUCCGGGGCUCACUGGUGAUUCAUGAUAACUUCUCGAAUCGCACGGCCUUGCGCCGGCGAUGGUUCAUUCAAAUUUCUGCCCUAUCAACUUUCGACGGCUAGGUCUUGGCUAGCCGUGGUGACAACGGGUAACGGAGGGUUAGGGCUCGACCCCGGAGAAAACGCCUGAGAAACGGCGUUUACAUCCAAGGAAGGCAGCAGGCGCGCAAAUUACUCAAUACCGAUACGGUGAAGUAGUGACGAUAAAUACUGAUACAGGGCUCUUUUGGGUCUUGUAAUUGGAAUGAGUACAAUUUAAAUCCCUUAACGAGGAACAAUUGGAGGGCAAGUCUGGUGCCAGCAGCCGCGGUAAUUCCAGCUCCAAUAGCGUAUAUUAAAGUUGUUGCAGUUAAAAAGCUCGUAGUUGAACCUUGGGCCUGGCUGGCCGGUCCGCCUCACCGCGUGCACUGGUCCGGCCGGGCCUUUCCCUCUGGGGAGCCUCAUGCCCUUCACUGGGCGUGAUGGGGAACCAGGACUUUUACUUUGAAAAAAUUAGAGUGUUCAAAGCAGGCCUAUGCUCGAAUACAUUAGCAUGGAAUAAUAGAAUAGGACGUGUGGUUCUAUUUUGUUGGUUUCUAGGACCGCCGUAAUGAUUAAUAGGGACAGUCGGGGGCAUCAGUAUUCAAUUGUCAGAGGUGAAAUUCUUGGAUUUAUUGAAGACUAACUACUGCGAAAGCAUUUGCCAAGGAUGUUUUCAUUAAUCAGGAACGAAAGUUAGGGG